AACGAACGCUGGCGGCAUGCCUAACACAUGCAAGUCGAACGAGACCUUCGGGUCUAGUGGCGCACGGGUGCGUUACGCGUGGGAACCUGCCCUUAGGUUCGGAAUAACUCCCCGAAAGGGGUGCUAAUACCGGAUCAUGUCUUCGGACCAAAGAUUUAUCGCCUUUGGAUGGGCCCGCGUUGGAUUAGCUAGUUGGUAGGGUAAAAGCCUACCAAGGCGACGAUCCAUAGCUGGUCUGAGAGGAUGAUCAGCCACACUGGGACUGAGACACGGCCCAGACUCCUACGGGAGGCAGCAGUGGGGAAUAUUGGACAAUGGGCGAAAGCCUGAUCCAGCAAUGCCGCGUGAGUGAUGAAGGCCUUAGGGUUGUAAAGCUCUUUUACCCGGGAUGAUAAUGACAGUACCGGGAGAAUAAGCUCCGGCUAACUCCGUG
rnacentral:rRNA from 1 species